AUCGAAUCGCCAGUAAGAAUCUUGAGGGAGACUUCUUUGAGGCUCUGGACCAGUACACCCCGCGGCUCAUAGACAUUUUCAAAACAAAAAAAGGAACUGUUGGCCGGAAACUCAGUGAGCUGAUGCAGCACAUGAGCUGGAUGACACCAGACGUGACAGUACUUCGCUCUGUUGUCCUCAAAGGCAUUUUGAUAAUAUUUGGUGACAACGCCAGUGAAUUCUUCAAGACAUGCUCUGAUACAGCAAGAGACGAGGCCCUAGAAUGCAUCACUGUUGGUGUGUUGUCAGUGAAGAUCCUCACGAGGGUCCAAGUUCAGUGGACCUCCAGCCCAUCUCCACUGCCAUCAUUCUGGAGGGAGGUAUCGUCAUGGAUCACAUUAAAAACUUGCCUCAGGCAGUUUGUCUGUUAUUUGGGCUAACAUAUGCUUUGCAUUUGGAUUACCCAAAAUGCUUUGCAAAGACACUCAACUUCAUUCAGACUGUGAUGCUUGGACUGGGAAAGAAAAACCUCCCACUAAAACUGUUAACUCUGAAGAACAGUCUCCUGGAUUAGACUAGUAAAGAGCUAAAUCAGCUGUCAGAAAUUUAAAAGUUAUAAUAAUGUUCUCCUGUUAUUAGAUAAAGUUUGAUGCUUUCAUGCAACUUGUUUAUCUUAAUUUAAAAAAAAAAUCAUUCAAGUCUGUACCAUGUUAUGCUGGUAUGCUAAAUAGUGCCACUGAAGUCCUGUAGUUAUCAGGUGUUUACCUGUUUAACAUUGUGAGACUGUUACAUGCAUAGAAUUAGUUCACAAAAAUGUGGCGUCCAUGUCAUGGUACACAGUCCAAUCAAACCACAAGUUAUAAGUUAUUUGUCUGCUGUUUAGAUUCUUGGGAACAGAACACCGCUGAAUAAUAGUAAUUGUAUUGAUUAUUGUAAGGUUAUUACAUGAGUAAAUGUUAUAUUGGAGAAUUGGAAUCAGAAGUAAUAAAAAAUGUCAAAUGUU